rnacentral:rRNA from 1 species
CCCUUAGAUGUCCUGGGCCGCACGCGUGCUACACUGACGCCUACAGCGAGUACUUCCCAGCCCCGAGAGGUGGCUGGUAAUCAGCAAUAGGCGUCGUGAUGGGGAUAGAUCUUUGGAAUUAUGGAUCUUGAACGAGGAAUGCCUAGUAAGCGCAGCUCAUUAGCCUGCGCUGAUUAAGUCCCUGCCCUUUGUACACACCGCCCGUCGCUCCUACCGAUUUCGAGUGGUCCGGUGAAUCUUUCGGACUGCGCGCGGCCUCGUGCCGUGUCGCGGAAAGUCAGGUAAACCUUAUCACUUAGAGGAAGGAGAAGUCGUAACA